UACGGGGGGGGUAAGCGUUGUUCGGAAUUACUGGGCGUAAAGGGCUCGUAGGCGGCCAACUAAGUCAUACGUGAAAUCCCUCAGCUUAACUGGGGAACUGCGUGUGAUACUGGAUGGCUUGGAUUUGGGAGAGGGAUGCGGAAUUCCAGGUGUAGCGGUGAAAUGCGUAGAUAUCUGGAGGAACACCGGUGGCGAAGGCGGCAUCCUGGACCACAACUGACGCUGAGGCGCGAAAGCUAGGGGAGCAAACAGG
rnacentral:rRNA from 1 species